CCUGGUCACGAUGAUGAAAACCAACCAAUGACUUCAGCAUUUAACACCAGCAAAGGUUAGAGCAUGAGCCACAGUCAAUUUUCCUUUGGCCUAUGCUUGGUUUAGUCCCUUUAGUGUGCUGACGCGUGUCUCUAGCUCACCAAAGGCCUUGACAAACUGCACUUGCACUGCAGGCCUUGUGGAUGUAACACAGAUAUCUGAUGAAGAAAGCACUUGUUUUUACUGGUAAGCGCAACUGUCACAGGGCAGGUCAGGGAAGCACGAGACCGUUUCCUUGGGAGAUGGUUUGCCUGCUCUUGGAAUCGUCCAGGCAUGAGUCACAGCUUUGCUGGGCCCUCUCUUUGCCCCCUCAGCACAAAUAGCUUUGGAAGAGGGGGGCAGGGCAGGGAGCCUGGGGAGGGCUGAGGUGCCCUCCGGCUGGCUGCUGCUGGGGUGAGUGAUGCACAGAGCUGGAAGGAGCAGCAUGUCGGGCUGUCUCACUCCAGCGUGGGGCUGCUGGGUCAGGGGCAUGGAUGAGGCCUGCUUCCUGGACAUCACAGCAGCUCGUGCAGAUGUGUCAGAGAGCAGGGAAGGUGAGCUCUCAUGUGUGGGAUAGAGAGAAUCAUUCUGUCCCUCCCAUCUCAUCAGUUUGGAAGCAUUCAUUAAAAAAUGUGAUGUUCACGAGACAGGGCUUUUUUACAGUGCUCUCUUCAUACUGAAAGAAAUGUCAGAAAUCUCACGUAAGCAGGAGAUGAGACGAGAAAGCCCUUCACCUGAUCUUGUAGUCAGUAGAGAAGGUCAAAAGGCCACAGCCUCUUCCCUGUCAGAACAGAGCUGCUGGCAGGACCUGUGCCCUUACCAGACCUCUUACUGUGGUGAUGGAACUGCAGACAGAAUGAUGGACAGUGUGUGCAUAAUCCAUCCUCAUAAGGUUUUCUGAGCCUGUCUGGAUGUUUGAGUAGUGAAAAGAGAAUCUGUGUGAGCCUAUGGAAACCAGCAGGAGUUUUUUCCUAUGGACUUAGGACCAGAUUUCAGCCUAUGGGGUUUCAAUUUUUUGGCUCCUUUUUUGCUUAGAGAACAGCAGUAGAAGCUCCCAUGGACAGCCUGUCUCCCAGCUGGCCCCACAUCUCUAAAAUAUGCGAGGAAGAUGUGCUGAAAAGAAACAACACAGUAACGUCCUCCUAGUGAGCUGCCAUAAACCUAUGUGUCUUUCAGAGCUUAAAGCAAUGUUACAUGUGAAAAAAUAUCAGCAAAUGCUUUUCCAAAGGCAGUCAAGCACUGUUGUUCUUUAUUGGCUCAGAUCUUUGUUGCCUGGGGCUAUCUGAAUCAUUCCUCUUGCAAAAGUACAAGGAUGAUUUCUCUCUUUUAGUGUGAGAAGCUUGCGCUCAGAAGAUGCAUUUAUGAAGGACUGAAAGGCGCUCAGUUUGGCUGCAUGGCAAAUGGCAGCUUGGUGUUACCAUUGCUUCAAUUACCUUAAGGCAGUUCUUACAAACCAGCUCCAUCACAGCUCUUGCUGCUGCUAGAAGUCUGAGCCCAGGGCUCUGCACACCGAUGUGCUGCAAAAUGUCCAUCUUGCACCCGUUGCUGCUGUGUGCUGGUAACAAACACCUUGUGAAGAAGUGCUCUUUUUCCCCCAGUUUGCCGUACUAGAUUUGAGUUGUGUGGGUGUUUGCCUGUAUAUUACCUAUUUUAGUGACUCCAAAAAGAUCUAAUAGGGCAACAGGGAGUAUCAGGGAUGUGGUAAGGAAGGACAAGAUGCUUGGGCAGCGUGGUUUGAGGCACAGCAGAAUAAACAUGGGACUGGAGCAGGGCUGAGCAAAGGGUCCAUCCUGUCAGUCCAUCCUCCUGCUAAUGAAGAUCUCUGAGAGGUGCUCCUCUGCAAGCCUGGGUGUGCUGCUUUCGUGCUCCAGUCCUCUGCCGUGCUCCAAAAUUGGCAAGGCUAUUUCGGAUAUCGGUAGCUAGUGAGGGCUGUCAGAGCAAGGCAAGGCUUGUAGGGAAUGGCAAAACCUUUUAUUAAUCGAGGAGAUAUGACUGGAGAAAGAAAAAAAAAGUAUUUUUGACAGAGAAGCCUGUCCCCGUUCUGCACAGCAGGCUGUCUCUUAGGACAGGGUUAUCCUUUAAGUGGGACUCUGGGAGAUCGGCAGGUAACAACAGCAGCCAGACUGGGGAAGUUUCUGCAGGUUUGCUGCCAAUAGCAUCUAGCUUGCUUUUCCUGAGAAUCUUUUUCCUUAAAUCUCUUUUUCACUUCAGCCUUAAAAAUGGUUGGAAAAUUAGAUUUUAUUGAUGGCAGAAUUGCACAUGAGGCUUUGCUUUCACCCACGUCUUCAAUGGAAAUAAGUCUGCUGCAACCUGACUUCUUUUUCUGGUGGUGCUAAUCCUUUUUGGGUUGGUUACUCAGUGCUAACCGAAAAAUAAUAACAACUCUGUGAAAAGUGGGGCUGUUUUGAACGUGCUGUUUUGUAGAAAACUCCUCUUUCUUUUAGUGGUGGUUGUGAGGGGGGAUAUUUCACUGGAAAGCUUUCGUCCUGUCUUGAUUUGAUUGUUGCCUUUCUUCAGUUUGGCUCCACAUCAGAUUAUUUGCUGUGUCCCCUUCCUCUCCAUCUGCCACUCUCUAGUGGGAAAUAAAUCUCCAAGCUCUUCUAUCCUUACCUUCCUGUAAGUCUCCUGCUCUCACUGACUUACUGCUGGAGAUCAUACAGCUCCUUUCACAAAAAAAUAUUUUUUUCCCAGAAUUCCUUUUGACUGGUGUCAGAUACAGAAAUGCUAAUAAAAAAAAAAUAAUCAAGGAUUUAAGGAAGCAAAAAUCCUUCCAUUCCGAACUAAGGUGAAGAUCUUUUUUUCAGCAGAGGUGAUGCUUUGGCAUCUCUUGUCCUUACAACCCCAACUGCCCUUUUUGAGAGCAUAUGUUCCUCACUGUUGAGUUGCUGCAGGUUGCUGCAGAAUGUCUGGCCAUGAAAUCCCCCCUCUCCCCAGCAAGCACAUCCCCUCUUGGCACACUCAGUGGAAGUGGUGCCAGAUUGCAGCAUGAUGGGACAGGCUUACAGAUCUGCAUGUGCUUGCAUGCAGGCAGCAGAAAGAUGGGACACAGUUAGGAGCGCCUGCAUGGAGCAGAAAGGUGUUGUUCUACAUUAACCCCUUGUCAGUGCAGGACUGCACUUGAAGUCAUCUUUCUUGCUUGCAUCUCCCACAAGAGGACGAGCUCCGAGCAGCACGGUGUGACUUCAGCUGGGGCAGUGCCACGAACCCAAAGCUCCUGAAAGCACCGUGGCUGUAUCAACCCAACAGAACUGCAGUGCUAAUGGUGGCCAUGGGAGCUGAGGCGCCCAUGGAAUCUGUUCAGGCCACGUCUGUUAGAAACCUGGCCUGUGCAGCCCAGAAGACAGCGAGAGAUGGAUGGUGUUGGCGUGUGGCCACCUGGGAGGACAGAGCCGGAUCAGCCUGCCGGGGACAGGAGCAGACAAAUGGAACCUGCAGAACAAGCACGCCAUUACCUUGUUUGCCAAACUCAUUACAGAGAAGUUGCAAAGUUCCAGUAUGCUGCCCGUGGGCUCUGAGACAAAGCUGCCAAGCGGUUUGUGAAUAAUUCUGGGCCACGCUCAGGCAGCUCGUUGUCGCCUGGCACCCAGCCUGCUGCAGGUGAAGGUGGAAGCUCCAGCCCCAGGGAGGAGUAACACUGACCCCACAUCAGCACCAGCUCCUUGCAUCCAGCAGGGAUCACGUACUCUCGGGCAGAAAGCCUUGGCUCAUGGCAAUCCAGGCUUCAGAUAAAGGCGAUUGGAGCACCAUGGUUAUAAACCCCAUCACAGAUUGGCUAUUAGCAGGAUGGAGGUGGCUGUGUGCUUUGCAGAUGAAUCGAUACGGAGGAAGAAAGACCUAAUUAGCUGCAACCUUUGCCUUUUCAAGUCAUGACCAACAGAGACAUUUCAAAAUCAUGGCUCAAAGGUACCUGGCACAGAAAUACAGUGGGAAGAUGGAGCUGCAGGGAGAAACUCCAACAAGCCAGCAGGGUGGGCUGCUAAUACUCAGAUAUUUUGCAGGUGAACAUUGUGAAGUUUGGGACAAAGGCAGAAGAAUGUUGGAUAACAUACCUUAAUCACGCUGCGUGUUUCAUGGUGACUCCCAUCUCACCUCUCAGUACAACGACUCACCUGAGCUCUCACUCCUUCAUUGAUUGAAACUUCAAAGGAGAUUUCAAUUACUACAAAGACCUCUGCAAACGGGGAUGUGGAGGAGGGACCACAGGAUGCAUUGCUAUGAAAGAGUCCUGGCCAAGUCUGCGGUAAAUCUUAAUGCUGGCUCUGGGUGUGACAAGUUGGUUUCUGACUGAGUUUUACCUGGGCUAAAAAUACUCCCAGAGGAGGGGUGAACAUCAAUGGUAAAAUGAAAUUAUUUUUAGCCAAAAUCUGGAGUCUUGAUAUACCUCAGUUUUCACUUUCUCAGCACAUUUUGCUCAAUUUUAUUAGGUCAUUUAGCAAAUAAUUUUAAUUUUCUGCUUAGAUCUGAAUUUCUGAAAGUAAUGUACUGUUGUACAGUUAAUGAGUCUGCUAAUAAGCUCCAAGAAAAUGUGAUUUGCAAAUCAUUCCAGGACAUAACUGUCACUCAGACCCUAUGCCAAUUAGCAUAACCAUUAGCAACUAUCCCUAAGAGGUCCUUGAAAUUUAAAUGAGAUUUCCUAAGAUCCCUUUUACAAGGGAGGCUGAAGACUCUGCCUCAUAGGGAAAAUGCAGCCUGGUGAAAAACAAUAAUUCAUUAAAGACAAAGUACGUCUGUAGAUGUGCAUGCCUACCUGGACUGCUGAGCAGCAGCAGUCACUCGGUGCUCAUUGGCCAUUACAAUGAUGCUAUGAUGCAGUGACCAGAGCUCCUCUGACCAGCGAAUUUCAUCUGGCUGCAGUUCCCUCUUACGUGCACAACCUGAAUGCUUUGCUCCACUCCAGAGAAAGCACUUUCGUCAAAAUCUGCCUUGUCUGAUCUUUCUUUCUCCUGUCUCCUUCCAGAACUAAUUCUGUCACAAGUUUUAGGAAUAAACAGAGCUUUGAGGUUUUGUUUAGGAUGACAACCUGAUGGAGCCCUUGCACAGCAUUGCAGCGAUGCCCUGCCAGGUCCGUCAGGCGAACAGCACUGCAGGUGAGAUGCAAAAGCUUUUGGCUCACAGGAAGGCUGCCUUGGCUUGGGGGCAUAAAAUAAAAAAGCAUGGAAUUUUAGACAACUUUGAAGACCCAGAAGAGGUAUUAGCUUAAUCUCUCCUCUUUUAAUCUUGCAUUAUCUCGUUUACCUAAUGUGAAAUCCCCAUGCUUGCACCUUACUUCUUCCAGCUUGGGCCAGUUGAUCCAGCAAGGCCUCCACAACCAGAGCCAGCUCACAAGGUGAUGCCCCUCAGCCACCUCCUUUUCUCCCAACUGCACCCCAGGGCAGCAAAGCUGGAGCACAGUGGGGUUUUAUAGCAGCAGCUGAAGGACCUGGGAUGGUUCAGUCUGGAGAAGAGGAGGCUCAGGGGAGGCUCAUUCUCUACAGCUCCUGAAAGGAGGUUGUGGUGAGGUGGGGCCAGCCUCUGCUCCCAGGUAACAGCAAUAGGAUGAGAGGUGAGGGCCUCAUGUUUCUCCAGGGUAGGUUCAGAUUGGUAUUAGGAAAAAUUUGUUCUCAGAAGGAGUGGUGAUGCAUUGGCACAGGCUGCCCAGGUAGGUGGGGGAGUCACAGUUCAAGAACCAUGGAGAUGUGGCACUGAGGGACAUGGUGAUCUUAGAGAUCUUUUCCAACCUUAAUAAUUCUGCUGAUCUAUAUGACACAGGGAAUCACCUUUGAUGCAACAUGUGCAGCCAGAAGUCACUCACCUCUGCUGAUGUCUGUAUGAACAUGAUGGAGCACAUCACACAUACGUACAGCGUUGACACACUGCCAGGAAGCAGCUGUAGCACACCAAACACCACAGCUCAACCUCGUUAAGGCUCAGUAAAUAGCAGGGCUCCGUACCUAAUGAGGGCACCCAAUGGAAAUUCCUGGUUUCUGUGGAAAUCCUCGGGGAGGGUGAUUCUUAAAUCGUGGUUCAGGGCUAAUUCAGUAGCUGUCAUUUUCUCGGAUAUGUUGGCUACUGAUGGAUGAUCAUUUGCCACCUUUUCUUCUCUUGAAAGGAAAAGUCAAGGGCAUAUAAAUCAUAUUUUCAUGGAAGAGACCAGGUACAGAUUUUUGGUAUUUGCCCAUAAUUGCCUUCUCAGUUUUUGUUAGACAAGAAAGGAUAUUAACAGGAUUGCACAAUGGCCAAUUAGUUUUAAAGGUCUUUAGUUCCAUUACUUAUCUGGAAUAAUUUGUAAUCUUCCUUUGACAAAGGCGGUCGAGGAACCCUUUUUGAUAAUAACACUAAAUCAGGCUGCUAGAGCACAUACCGAUUAACAUAUACAAGGGAUGUUACACCAAACAGAAAUUCAAUUUAACAGAUCUCACAGCUCCAGCCAUAUCCCAAUCAUAUUUAUACUCUUCUGCAGACUUCUCUGUUUUAGCCUCUUAUCCCUAUCUUCAAAGGUCUCAGCUUGGAUUUAUCACAUUUCCUCCCGCUCUUGCUCACACGCAGCCUGCUCAAGGCCCAACACUUUUUUCCAUAACGUUCUUCGAUCUUUCUGUGCUGAUCCCAUAUGAUGCUGCUAGCUGCAGAGAGAAAGGUCGUUGUGUUUCCAGGAAUGUGGGAGAAGGCGCUGAACGCUCAUUUUCCUCCCCACCUCCUAGAGGUGUGAUGAGGACACUGACUUGAUGUCGGUUCAUCAUUUCACGGCUGGGAGCUGCACGGGUAGAACAGCAGUUCAGAAAAGGACUUCUUCCACCAGCUGGGGCUCAGCAUCCUGGGGAGAGCUGGCAGCCUGAGGCCGUGGCACUGGGGGGACUGGUGGACCAUAUCGAGCAGAACGAAAACAACUCAAGUUCACUCUCUACAAGGAGGCUGGAAAGAGGCUGUCGCGAGGUGUGGGUCGGCCCCUGCUCCCAUGUAACAGUGAUAGGAUGAGAGGGAAUGGCCCCAAGUUGCACCAGGGGAGAUUCUGGUUGAGUAUUAGGAGAAAUUUGUUCUCAGAAAGAGCGGUGAUGCACUGGCAAAGGCUGCCCAGGGCAGUGGUGCAGUCACCAUCCCUGGAGGUGUUCAAGAACCGUGGAGAUGUGGCACUUGGGGACAUGGUCAGUGGGCAUGGUGGGGAUGAGUUGACAGUUGGAUUGGAUGAUCUUAUAGAUCUUUUCCAUCCUUGAUGAUUCUAUGAUUCUGUUCUCUGGUUCUAAGUGCAGACCCCAUCAUGCUCAGACAGGGCACCAGCUGUUAGCUCAAGACUUUCCCAAUGCUGUAAGCAAUCAGAUCUUGGGUGUUUGUUGGCUGCCAGGCUUCCAUCUCUGUUUUAAAGCAUUAGAAAGGCAGAUUAAUACCUGUAAGUUGGUAUUUUGGAGGAAGUAUAAUAUCACUGCUCUUGCUUUAAUACAAAUAAGAACAAUUUAGGGUUUUUUUUUGCCUUUGAGUACUGGAAAGUGUUUGAGAGGAACAGAAAUUGAGCACAGGUUGAAGGCUCCCUAAAUAGAACCAACAGUAUCCACUUAUAGGAGGUAAAAUCCUCAUUAACAAGUACUCAUUCUGCUAAAAUGCAGUGGCAGAAAUCAGUUCAGGAGGAGCUGAGCCACUGAAGUGCUCCUGCAGAAGGGACAUAUUCCUGUGAUGGGACCUGCCUGGCUGGUUUCCUGCACUACUGUAGGCAUCUCAGCAGAAAUUGUUUCUGCCUCCUGAGAUUGCUGUUUUCAGUGGAGGUUUUCUCCCCUUUAUGGUGCAUAGAUUGCAUCAGCUUUUUAUAUACUGCGGGAGACAGCUAAAUGCUGUCUGAACCCCAUUCAGCCAGAGCUGCAUCAUGAAAUGGAAGACAAGGAAACUAAGCAUCAAGAAGUUGUCAGAGGGAUUUAAGUCUGUGCCCUCUUCUCCCUCUCACUCCCAUAAACCUGUGCUGGAGAGAGCAGUAAUGUGACAUUACUUCCAUCUUUCAUUUUCUUUCCCUCUGCCUUUUAUCUGCUUGUUCAUAAGCUGGGGAGAUCUCUUUGCAGCACCUGUGAAGGUCAGCCACCUGAAUGCAAUGCCACAGGGACCGAAGUCAGUUGUCCCCUGUUCCAUGCUGGAAGCAUCAAACAAGUUGGUCAAAACGUGGGCAGCUGCUUGCAUGCUCAGUGUUUGCUUGUGGUUGGGUUCUGGUGGGGCAUGUUGGGGUCCAACCCAGUUUCCAGACAAUGCAAAGUUUAUGGGCUCGUGCUUGUCCAUCACGUCUCCCAAAUGCAUUUUAGUUCUGCAGGUUUCACAGAAAUAGGCUGAUUCAUAAGCUCAACCCUGAUAGGACACCCAGGAGCACCAUGGCACACACCAUGACUGCAGGAAAAGCUCUGGCCAUAGUCACACUCUGCAGACCCCAGCAGCUCCAAACGCAAGCUGCGUGCCAUAAGAACCAGCCUUCAUCACCUCACAAAGUUGCUUAUUAUGCCCUGUGCCUCACAGGAUUUACUGUCACCUGGUCUGCGUGUGAUGCAGAGCACUGACCUGGGAGUCAUGAAUCCACAGCUUCCAUUCCUACCUCUGCCUCAGUGACAAGGUGGACUGAUUUCCAUCCAAGUGAUUUAAAUGAGCCACCGGGGAACCUUGAUUUAAAUCAUCAAUGUUUGCUUUUUACAUUGGCAGGGGAGGCAGCUUUAAUGAUGUAUGGCCCUACUGCUGUGGCUGAAAUCUAAAUUCCUGGAAUAUUCCCACUAGAUAAUCACUAAAGUUCAUGUAUUUGCCUCUGGCUAGCGAGCUGCACAGGCGGGAGCCAGCUCUUGGCAGGGCUGGGUGGUUUGGAGCUUCUACGCUUGUGUUGGCAGCCUGAGAUGGGCAGGGAGGUGUGAGGCACCUCUGGGCUUCUGUGGAACAGAGGAGAAAAGGGACAGGGCUGCGAGGGCUGGGGAGAGCAGGCAGGGCUAUGGGAGGAGGGUGCGUACACCCAGCAGUGAGCUGCGGUCAGGUGCAGGCAGAAAGCAGCCCAGGGCUUUUGGAUCUCCAACCUGGAUCUGAAGGUAUUCAGAGAAAAGCUUCAAGUCUGCAUGGAUGGAUGAUUUAUAGUGUAAAUAUACCAUGAACAUAAUAUGUUGGGUUUUUUUUCAUGGAAAUAAUUGACUUUUUUGUUACAUAAUUAGUAAAUAGAUGGUUGAUAAUCAAGCUGUCCUGUCUGUAUUCUGCUAGCUAGAAGAAUGCCAUAUA